rnacentral:misc_RNA from 1 species
GGAACUCUUACUGGUGCUCAGUGGGGUAUCUAUGAUGCGUUCAAAGUAUUUGUUGGACUGCCUACUACUGGUGGCCCUGCACCUGCUGCCCCUGCACCUGCUGCUGCUGAGCUCGCAAAGGCGUGAGGUUGAUGCUUGAUUGACCAACCGGAGUUUUGUUGUUUUUACGAGUUGAGGAGAAACCUCCUGAUAGGAAAUUGAAUAAACAUAACCCUUUAGCCAUGAUGCUUAUAGUCCUCAAAGCCAGAAGGAUAUCUUCAUAGAAUGGAUGAACCCUUUUCCAUUCGGUUUUCGUUUCCCUUUUUUUAAUCGGCAUUCAUUGAAUUUGUUCAGCCAAGGAUGGUUUUGAUCUCAUCCUUGCUAGUUGGGAUACUCAUUUGUUUUGUAGUAGUUCAGAAUUCAGAUAGAGAAUUGCAGUUUAAUGGUUUUAAAACCAUGAGCAUGAUGUAUUUUGUUGUACCCAUGUCAGGAAGAAACUUUCGCCAAAUAAACUGACAGACAAUGG